UACGAAGGGGGCUAGCGUUGCUCGGAAUCACUGGGCGUAAAGGGUGCGUAGGCGGGUCUUUAAGUCAGGGGUGAAAUCCCGGAGCUCAACUCCGGAACUGCCUUUGAUACUGGGUACCUAGAGUAUGGAAGAGGUAAGUGGAAUUCCGAGUGUAGAGGUGAAAUUCGUAGAUAUUCGGAGGAACACCAGUGGCGAAGGCGGCUUACUGGUCCAUUACUGACGCUGAGGUGCGAAAGCGUGGGGAGCAAACAGG
rnacentral:rRNA from 1 species